CGCGAAGAACCUUACCAAAUCUUGACAUCCUUUGACCGCUCUAGAGAUAGAGUUUUCCCCUUCGGGGGACAAAGUGACAGGUGGUGCAUGGUUGUCGUCAGCUCGUGUCGUGAGAUGUUGGGUUAAGUCCCGCAACGAGCGCAACCCUUAAGCUUAGUUGCCAUCAUUAAGUUGGGCACUCUAAGUUGACUGCCGGUGACAAACCGGAGGAAGGUGGGGAUGACGUCAAAUCAUCAUGCCCCUUAUGAUUUGGGCUACACACGUGCUACAAUGGACAAUACAAAGGGCAGCUAAACCGCGAGGUCAAGCGAAUCCCAUAAAGUUGUUCUCAGUUCGGAUUGUAGUCUGCAACUCGACUACAUGAAGCUGGAAUCGCUAGUAAUCGUAGAUCAGCAUGCUACGGUGAAUACGUUCCCGGGUCUUGUACACACC
rnacentral:rRNA from 1 species